UCAGAGACCAGUGCUGGCGGGUGCUCCAUAUGCUGAGCGCCGGUCCACUGGGCCCACUGUUCUUUCUCUAUACUUUGUCUCCGUCUCUUAUUUAUUUUCUCAGUCUCUCGUCCCACCUGACAAGAAACACCCACAGGUGUGGAGGGGCAGGCCACCCCUUCAUCACUGAUUGGCCGGGCGCAGUGGCUCACGCCUGUAAUCCCAUCACUUUGGAAGAUCGAGGAAGGCAGACCACCUGAAGUUGGGAGUUUGAGACCAGCCUGACCAACAUGACAGGGUCUCACUUUGUCAUCCAGCCUGGUGUGCAGUGGCGGGAUCUCGGCUCGCUGCAGCCUCAAUCUCCUGGGCUCAAGGGAUCCUCCUACCUCAGCCCCCACCAAGUACCAGCUGCCUUUUAAAUGUCGCUCAUGCAUCACGUUCCCUGCAGGAUCCUGUGUCUCUGAAGAUAAGUAGCAGCCUGUGGGAACUGACAGAAUGGCUGCUGGGAUGUGGCCAUGGGAACGAUCUUCUUAUCGCAGACUGUACUUGGAAUCCUGGGGAUUUCUCUCUUAUUUACCAUUAUCUGUCCUUUUACAUCACUGGGUGCAGGUUAAGGUCCACAGAUUUGAUGAUCAGACACCUAAUUGUAGCCAACACCGUAUUCCUCCUCCCUAGAGGAGUCCCACAGACAAUGGCAGCUUUUGGGUUUAGGCAUUUCCGGAGUGAUUCUGGAUGUAAAUUUCUUUUUUGUGUCCACAGAGUUGUCAGGGGAGUGUCCAUUGGCAGCACCUGCCUCCUGAGUGUCUCCCAGGCCAUCACCAUCAGCCCCAGGAGCUCAGGUGGGCAGAGCUUAAAGGGAACGCCCCCAAGCACGCUGGCUCCUGUGUGUUCCUCAGCUGGCUCCUCCCUGGUCAAUAUCAUUGUUCUCAUGCACGUGACCGGCAAGUGGAGCAACAAAAAUACCACAAAGACAAAAGAUCUGGGAUACUGUUCUGCUGCUGAUCACGAGGACACCAGAGAGUCGCUGACGCGGCACUGCUGUCCUUCCCUGAUGUGAUCUGCCUGGGGCUCAUGCUCUGGGGCAGCAGCUCCAUCGUUUGCAUCCUGCACAGGCACAAGCGGCGGGUCCAGCACAUUCAUAGGACCAGCGUCUCCCCCACAUCCUCCCCUGAGUCCGGAGCUACCAAAACCAUCCUCCUGAGACCCAUAAACACGGUUAUGAAACGAGGCUUGUUAGUGCUGUGCUUGCCAGCAGGGGCCACUGUUUUAUUCUGUACCUCCUGAUCCCCCCUCCACCCACACCGCCCUGGAGCAGCUCUGUGGAAAAAGUGGAAUCAGCUUAGAGGUUUUCGGGAGGAAGACACUGAAACGUAAACGUUAUAAGAAAGUGACGGUGCACAAACACACGUGCCUCAUCUCUGUGUCCCUCGGAGUAGACGGGGGGAAUGUGCGCAGAUGCGAAGUUCUUGCUGUCAUUUUCGUGAUGAAUAGUAAAAUAUAUAUUUUCUCAGAUCCAG
rnacentral:lncRNA from 1 species